rnacentral:rRNA from 1 species
AACGAACGCUGGCGGCAUGCCUAACACAUGCAAGUCGAACGAGACCUUCGGGUCUAGUGGCGCACGGGUGCGUAACGCGUGGGAAUCUGCCCUUGGGUUCGGAAUAACAGCGAGAAAUUGCUGCUAAUACCGGAUGAUGACGUAAGUCCAAAGAUUUAUCGCCCAAGGAUGAGCCCGCGUAGGAUUAGCUAGUUGGUGAGGUAAAGGCUCACCAAGGCGACGAUCCUUAGCUGGUCUGAGAGGAUGAUCAGCCACACUGGGACUGAGACACGGCCCAGGCUCCUACGGGAGGCAGCAGUGGGGAAUAUUGGACAAUGGGCGAAAGCCUGAUCCAGCAAUGCCGCGUGAGUGAUGAAGGCCUUAGGGGUUUGUAAAAGG